rnacentral:rRNA from 1 species
UGGGGAAUAUUGCACAAUGGGCGCAAGCCUGAUGCAGCCAUGCCGCGUGUAUGAAGAAGGCCUUCGGGUUGUAAAGUACUUUCAGCGAGGAGGAAGGUGUUGCAGUUAAUAACUGCAGCAAUUGACGUUACUCGCAGAAGAAGCACCGGCUAACUCCGUG